GCUGGGCGUGGUGGCGUGCACCUGUAAUCCCAGCUGCUGGGGAGGCUGAGGCAGGAUAAUUGCUUGAACCUGGGAGGUGGAGGUUGCAGUGAGCCGAGAUUGCGCCACUGCACUCCAGCCUGGGUGACAGAGCAAGACUCUGUCUCAA
rnacentral:SRP_RNA from 2 species